UGUAGGAAGCUUUGGUCAUACAAUACCAAAUGUUAGAAACUAAAUGAUUCCAAUUACAAAUAAACGGGUAGUGUGGAACUACACAUGCGAGUGAAUAUCACCUUCAUAACAUAGCUCAUCACUUGGAGGUUCGAGAUUGGACAGAAGCUACUGGUUUCUACACUGUUAGAAGAUGGCUUUGAGAAAUGCAGAUGCGCCACCAGUUUUGUUCCACCACAUAAUCCUUGU